rnacentral:rRNA from 1 species
AGAUUUGGGAGUGCUCGCAAGAGAACCGGAACACAGGUGCUGCAUGGCUGUCGUCAGCUCGUGUCGUGAGAUGUUGGGUUAAGUCCCGCAACGAGCGCAACCCUUGUCAUUAGUUGCCAUCAUUUGGUUGGGCACUCUAAUGAGACUGCCGGUGACAAACCGGAGGAAGGUGGGGAUGACGUCAAGUCCUCAUGGCCCUUAUGGGUAGGGCUUCACACGUCAUACAAUGGUCGGUACAGAGGGUUGCCAACCCGCGAGGGGGGAGCUAAUCCCACAAAGCCGAUCGUAGUCCGGAUUGUUCUCUGCAACUCGAGAGCAUGAAGUCGGAAUCGCUAGUAAUCGCAGGUCAGCAUACUGCGGUGAAUACGGUUCCCGGGUCUU